rfam:Nitrospirae bacterium GWC2_56_14 gwc2_scaffold_804, whole genome shotgun sequence.
ACCGUUGUGAGGCGGGGUUUGAAGGAAGCGGAACGCAAAUCCUCGGUUCGAAGAACAUGAAGCGCAUAAGAGGCAGCCGCGUCUGUGGGCGAGAAGGCCAUAAGAUUCAAAGCCCGAUAGUUAUCCAGAAGGCGCGGAAGCAGGGGGCUGUGCAAUUAACUGUGCAUCAAUUGGACUUAUGC